UGCAUAUUGCAAAACCUGCAGCUCCUGAGAUCCUGCUAUGGGGAGCAGCUAAUGUGGAACACCUGAGGAAGAACAGGCAGCCUCCCUACCCCGAAGCUUGGUGUGGCCUUAUCAUCCCUCUCACCUGUGUCUGAGUAGCAAACAAGAUCCACCUGUGGAACACGCACAGCCCACUCAGCUACAGCUGGCAGUGUUUCAGAAGAACUGGACUGAGAACAGAGGGGGAACAAAGCAGAAGGGGCAGAGAGAGAAGGAAGAGGACAAGGUUAGUUUAGUUGCUGCCUUUGAAUGACAAGAAGAGCUGUGAGAACACUGCUUCAAAGUUCUGCUUGGGCUGCCUGUAGUAGUCACUCAGAGUGAGGGAGAGGAAGGAGUACUUACCUCUACUUACCUUACCUGUUUAAAGUACAGGUGUUCUGGACUGGGACCUGGAAGAGCAGCUGCAAGCCUUGGGAGAACAAGGAGUUGAUGAUGCUUGUCUGCAGGGUCCUAUUGCAAUUACUACUGAGGGGUAAUGAAACCAACUUGAAGAGCUGUGAAAAUGUGACCACUUGCUUCCUUUGUUUCAGCACUAGCUACAUCUGAACUACAUUUUUGUGGAGAGCAUCGAGUAUCUGAGUACUGCCACAUUUCUGUGGAAAUGGAGAUCUUGGUCUAACCGUGGCACCAGAAGAUGGGUGUCCAGGAAAAGCACAGCAAAGGUGGAACUGGAAGCACUUGGUUACUGCCAGGUAUGCUCAUGCAGCUGACAGAGGACAUACACAAACUGUCACAGAUUCAACCCCAGUACAGCUUAGAUGGGAAAUGAGCCAAAGGGAGCCUUGCCGUUAUGAUUCUUUUCUCUGGGAACUGUUCCCUCAGUGUUUUGCUCACCUCUGCUUCACCAUGCUCUCACUCUGGGAUACUGGAGAGGUUUCAUCCCCAUGGAUGUGGCCUAAGGAAAACAGCUUCACUGCUUGAGUUUCUUUUCAAGGAACUGAGUUUUCCUAGAAACGUGGCUGUUCCAUUGGUUAUCUAUGUUUGUGUGUCCAUCCAGUGAUUGCAUUUAACACCUCAGGGGUGUCUGGGGUCUGUUCAUGUUUUACCCAUUUUUCAGGUGGGGAAAUUGAAUCUAAUGGACUGAAAACUAACCAUUACCAGAGUCUGCUUCAGGCUAAGCAGGAUUCAAAGAACUGAAACUGAGUUCUAUAAUUAGGCCAGGCCUGUGUCCAAGUUAAAUGAUAAACAACUUACAUUAAGGGCUGCAAAACUGUUCCUGUACAACACCAUAAUGGAGCAGACGCUUAGCCAGGCAGAUAGCUCAGUCCCUCCCCACUACUGCUGUUUUCACUUCCAGGGAGGAUUUUUAAAAAACAGACCCUUGAGGAAAAGAACAGUGGCUUAAUAUAAAUCCUUUCCUUACUGUUGAGGAAGAAAUUGAGUGUUUGUUGCAAUAAUAUUUUACAUACACUGAGGCUAAGAACUAUAGGACACAUCCUGAUUUUGCUGUUUGCCAGAGUAAUUAUUACUAGGAAAAGUUAGCUGUCCUUUAGUGUUCAUUACCAGAAAUAUUUCCUACUGCUUUAAAUUUGUUUUUCUCAGUAGAUGCAGUUUAGAAUGCAGUAGGUAACUGAGCUCUCUGUAAGUGACUGACAGGAAAAUCUAUCCCUUGCUUUACUUCCAAAGGCCAGGAUUUCUAUAUCCACACACCCGCCAGUGUACACUAGGAAAAAGCUAGAAAGGUAUUGUGUUACUAAAUAAAAUAAAAAAAAACCCACAGUGAAAUAUUUCUGUCAACUCUCAGCAGAAGAAAACUUAUGUCAGCUCUUGGGGGUUAAUGUCAGCUUUUAGAAACUGAGCAGUUCAGUAUUUUCAGAGUGAAAUACUGAAAUAAGUCAUUUCAUGCAUGGUGUGAAGCCCUACAAAUAACCUUCCCCCUUCCCCACUCAAACAGGCUGAACUAAGAGUUCUCAAUGAGCACCAAGGAGAAACAGCAGCCAGGAGAAGCGAAGGGGCUGAGCAUGGAGCAGGAGCUGUGCCCUGGUGCUCAGGGGCACGGCUGUCAGAGCAGCCACUGUGGAUGUGAAGCAAGGGAAAAGGGAUGCUGUUCCACCAAAGCCACAGCGCAGUGAGAGAGGGACAGCGGCACCGAAGGCAGAGCGAUGAACCAGGUACCAUAGAGACUCGAGUGGGCUGUCAGGGCAGCUCCUGUUCCAGUAUGAUUCGCAGCUUGCUCCUUUUAGCCCUUUGUUCCUUCCAUCCAGGGCCACAGCAAGGCUGUUCUGCCCAUCUCACUUCUCUUCCUGGGGAAAGCACAGCCAGACCCUAAAAGGAGCUGAAAUGCCCUGCUCCCAUCUCCUGCCCUGCUGAAGGGACAGCUCCUCUCCAGCAGCAGCUGACCCCUUCCAGUGGCAAAGGCGUGGGGCUGUUGGCCAGCUGCCACAGCGGUGCACGUUGGCCAGGGCAGCCUUUUCCUGGGGUAUGGAUAUCCAGGGAUUGGGACUGUGUCACCCAAAGGCCCGGGAGCAGAAACUCUCCCUUGCAUUUUUCUAACUUGUGGCUUACAGCUUUGCCUUUGUGUUUUCACCUGUGGUUCAGCCCUCAAAGCUGGAACACAUUCAUUGCAGUGUCAUGCUGGAAACUUGUGAGUUAACAGGCCCGGGAACUCGGGAAGGGAAACACAUAUUUCAGUCCAGCCUUGGAGCAUGAAGUUAGACACAUUAAAGCACCUCCAUUUGGCACAAAAGCAGCCUGAUGUCAGUGUUUAAAUUAAAGUCUGGCUCUUGACACACCAGGGAGAAGAGCUGAAAAUAAAUGAAACAUUUGCAGGAACAGCAAAGGGAAACAGCCCUUAGUGCACAGGUAAGGCUAGCCAACCUGGGGUGGAGGGGGAAGCUUCUGUCCAGUUAGCAAAGUCUGGAAUAUUGUGACUCUUAAAGAGUUUGCUCUUCAAGACCCUUCCUUUUAAGGCCAAAAAGCUUUAUGUCUCUUGCCAAGUACAAUAUAAAAUGAAACAUAAGAAGAUAAUGCCUAUAAAUAGCACAAAACAGAAUUGCCUGACGAAAGUAAUGGAGCACAGUAUUAGUAUGUAAGAUACGUUCAUUUUCUGCCCUGUGAUACAAUUCUCUCUAGUAAAGCCAUUGUUGGAAAAAGAGCAAACUGGCAAGGUAACUGUCAAUCUGCAUACUGCAAAUGUUAUGCCAUUAUUUUGGGCCUGAAGAGGCACCAGUUUAAUUAACAGAACGAAAUGUCCAUUUCCUAUUUAAUCAGUCCUAAUGAAGACUUUGUGAAUCCUCACCAUUUGGAUUUGUGCAGCUUAGAACCUGGCAAUGCAAGUACUCUCAAUAUUGGGUGGGCAUAUGAAAGACUAAAUAGUGAGCAAGGAAUUUUUAAUGAAUGAAAAUAACAAAACUGCAAUGAAUGGAAACCGAGAAGGUGAUGAAUCCACAUCUCUUCCUCUCUUUUUCUGUACCCCCUCCAUAAUGAGGGGCUGACUUGAAAGAAAGUACCGGAGCUUGGGAAUGGACAGUGAGAAAAGCAGACUACAAGCGUGUGUAGCCUGGAGUCCAAAAGCCACUAAACAAGGAGAGCAGUGAGAAGAGCUGCCAGCUGGGAAGUCCACAAAGCAUCCCAGCUGCCCCAGGGAAAGUGGCCUAACUAACCUCCACUGAUGCUACAGGCAGGUAUGAACUGCAGUAAGAAACCGACACCCCCCCAUCCCCCAGGGCGGCGGGGGCUGAGCACUGUGGCAGGGCAGACACGGGCACAGGGCACACAGAUCAAAAACAGCUCAAGAGGACUGAGCUGUGUUUAUGGAUUUCAACAGUUUUUAAUAUGCAUAAUGCUCUUUGUUGUCAUUCCAUGCUGGCAGCCAGCAGCACCUUCUCCAGUGCAGAUCAUCAUGUAGGUGAGUUUACUGCUGACAGAGACACAGCUGCCCUUGUCCCAUGGCACUGCCACCCACUGCUCCGUGGUACCACCCAAGGUUAACCUGGAGCACCAGUUUAGGGCUCCUUUGGUUUAAGGCUCCUUGCUCCACCACAGCAUCAUCCAGAACUGGUAAGACAGUGACUGUGGCUGCUCUGUUUCAAGAAGACAGUUCUUUCUUUUUCAGGUCUGCAAAUACGUGACGCUACAUCCUCUGCUUUUCAUCCCUCUCUUCCUCUCCAUUGGUCCUUAGGUUUCAAGAGAGGCUGGUUUGGGUUAUUUUUUGAAUGAACUGCUACUCUUAUGAGAAGGAAUUUUCCUUGAAGGUGAUUUAAACCCGAGACCCUUGUGCACAGUUCUCAUGGUUGGAGAAGGGAGGUGUGGGGUUAAUGUAAGAGCUAUCUCAGAACAGUGCUUUUAUGUGUGGAUUCCACCAGCUGGUACUCAAAGUGGAUUUGUCACUGUGGAAGUUGGCACUGACCCAUCUGAACGUGGAAAUGUGUCAUUUCUCACAGGACAGCAGCUUCCCCCCUCAGCUUUUGUGCUGCUAGAUGCCUGUCCCAGCUCCUGAAGGAGGUGGGAGAUGAGGCAGGGACUGUGAGGAGCCAAUGCCAGCCAGAGGAGGGGAGGAUGCCCAAGGACCUGGGAGGUCAUUCCUGCACACACCUACAUGGAUGCAAGGGGAAGCAAAGAAUGGAGAAACCUGAGUAUGAUUAUUUCCUAAUUCUCUUUCUGGAAGAUUUCUUUUCCUGUCGCAGAUCUUCACUAAUCAGAGGAUGGAUUCAGUUUCGGGUAUUUGGAGACUCCCAAGUUUUUUACUUAAUGCACCAUAAAACCUUUACUAUCUGCAAGGGCUUGCUGUCUCCUUUUCUGAUUCUCAAUCAGACAAGAUCAGGACAGGGGAGAAUAUAAAAUAUAAUCCUCUUCCAGCUACAGUUCUGAUUCCUGUAUUUUCUAAUGGAGUUCUAAUAUUAUUUUCUGGGGAGGAAGACAGUGGGAAAGGGGAAAAUAACCCCUCUGCUGUCUCACACAGAACAUGGGUUUGUCACUUAUUUCAAGGCUGGCUACCCUAGCAAUGUGACCAAUUUCUAAAGGCCCCACAUGCACUUUCAAAACUGGAACUUGUUCCAGCUUUUAAGAAAAGCAAUUCAAUAACCAGCCAUUUUAUACCACUAGUGCAUUUCUUUCCCUCUCGACUGAACAAUUUAUCUGAACAAUGUAAAGCCCACUAUUAUUCUAAAACUGAAGCAAUUAAAACAUAAAGAGUUAAAUUAAUACAAAAAGGCCAUCACUGGCUGGUUGGGCUGCAGUUUCAGAUAACCACAAUUUUAACUGCAGAGGGGCAGUUGAGCACAGUCAGUCACAAAUGGCCUCCCCAAGACAGAGAUCAGGGAGACUUUUUUCAAUUUUCUAGAAAUUUUUCGUAACCACUGGCACCAACCAUGUCUCCACUGUCUUUAAAAGGUCAGGGGUGAGAGCACAGGUCUCUUUUGACGCUGGCUAGCAAUCUGACUCUUUUCUAUGUAGCACCCAUGAUAUUUUAAAAAAAAAAAAAAGAACACACUCACUGUUGAAGCAUUUUCUAAGAUCAUUUAAGAGAAUCAUUAGCAACCUUUCAGCAUCUCACCUUGACUUCACAGAAUCCCCCCCAAAGCCAUUCAGGCCUCUAAGCACAUUCUUCAUUUCCACUGACUCCCAAAUGAAGCACCUACAGACUGUUUAUUGAACUAGAAAGGACUGGUGCAGCACAUGGGGCAACAACUACUGCACUGCUUGAGCCCUGCGCGCAGCACAGCUGCAGGCCCGAGCGUGCCAGCGGCCCGGGGCAGAGAAGCAGCUGGCAGCGAGACUGUGAUUGGCCGCAGCAGCAUAUGAGCAGGAAGCUGAUUGGACGGUAGGAUGCACAGGCAGAGUAUGAGCAGGAAGCUGAUUGGACGGUAGGAUGCACAGGCAGAGUAUGAGCAGGAAGCUGAUUGGACAGCAGCAUGCGUGGGCAGCAGCACGGCAGCUGAGCCAGCCAAUGGGUGCCCUUCUUCCGUUCAAUUCCGUGAAGUCUCGGGUUGGUGUCAGUUAUGUUGGAUUAAAAUUAAAGGUAGAAAAAGGGGCCGGUUUCUACAAUAAAGGGAUCUCCUUCAGAUGCAUAAGGGGGUCCGUGUUGCUUUGUUCCCCACUGCUACAAACACGCAGUUGGCUUUCUGAAGUUUCUGGAUGCACACAGGACAAGUUCUCACCCUCCUUCCUUGAAGCAGGGUUAGGAUGUAUAGUCAGCUCUUCGGGAUUAUCAAUGAAGUUAAAUUUGGGGUUUCAUUUUUAGAACUUAAAAUUUUUGCACUAGACAGAUUGUGCACUGUUGACAGGCGUGACACAACAAAAAAAGGUAAAGAAAACAAUAUGAGUAUUCUACAGCAGGAGGCAGAAAUAGCAAGAACCAAACUUGGUUCCAAUAUUUGGCUUUACUGUAACCCACACUGGUCACAGAACUGCUUGUGAAAAGAAACAGGUAAGGAAGAGAAACUUUGUUAAUGUGCUGCCCAAGUGAAAAAUAGCAGUGGCUUCAGAAAUUAUACAUUCAAUUAAAAUUAUGUAACUGUACAUUCCAGAGGUUCAAAUGUGGUGUCUAAAUUGCCAUUUAAAUUAGCCAGCACAAGCAUCCUAUAGAAAUUAGUGUUUCAAAUCUCACUGCAGCCACAAAGGCUCAUUUCUGAUUAUUUAUAAACCACAUAAAAUGUAAUAAUAGUUUUAAUGAAAGAUAAAUAGGGAUAGGUAGGCCUAGAGACAGAAAUAGGUGUGUACAGAUAUUGAUGGGUAGAGACAGGGCUAGACAGGCACAGGGAGAGGCAGAGAUAGGUACAGAGAGGUUGACACAGGCAGAGGAAGCUCUAGAGAGAGCUGUGGGUAUAGACAGGGGCAGAUAGGUACAGACAGACAUGGACAGGUAGAGAGGCUGAAAGAUGUGGACAGACAGAGAGAGGUGCUGACAGAUUUUGCCAAGCAGAAUGUUUUGUCAACGUUUUUGACUGGGAGAGGUAGUGACAGGUACACAUAGACAUUGACAGAUAGACACAGGUACAGACAGAUCCUGACAGAAUCUGUUAGAUCCUGACAGAUUCUCUAAGAUUUUAGCUGAUUCUGUUAGAUUUUGGCAGAUUCUGACACAUUUUGACAAAUUCUCUUGUAUUCUGACAGGUUCUGACAGAGAUAUUGGCAGUGCUGGAGACAGAUCUUUGACAGAGGUUUUGUCAGAUAUUGACAGGCACUGAGAGGGAAUAUAUAAGGACAGAGAGUGACAAGUGCUGACAGGUGGAGUAAGUACAGAUGGAUAGAGACAUGUAUAGAUGACUAGUGAUACAUAUAGAUAUAUAGGUAGAGAUGUGUAUAUAUAGAGAGGUGUAGAUAGAUAUAGAUACAUACAGACAGAGAUAGGUUUAGACAGGCAGAGCUAAAUAUUGACAGGUAUAGAUAGGUACUGACAGGUAUGGACAGACACAGGUUAGUAUCAGCACGUACAGACAGGCAGAGAUAGGUAUGGUUUGACAGAGGCAUAUAGAGAUAAGUACAGACAGGUAUAGGUACAGAUAGGCAGAGAUAAGUAUAGACAGGUAUAGAUAAAUAGGGCUGUAGAUAGGGAUAGACAGAUAGAGCAGGUGUGUAGAUAGGUAGAGGUAGAAACAGAAAGGAAGAGAUAGGGAUAGACAAAGAUGGGUAACCUGAGACAGGUAUAGGUGGAUAAAGACAGAGACAGGUACAGACAGAUGGAGGGACAUAGAGACAGGUAUCACUGGGUGUACAUAGGUAUCGAGAGAUACAGACAGAUACAGAUCAGGAUACACAGAGAUAGAUUAUUGCAGUGGUCUUCACUAACUGCAGGGCAGUCAGGACUUGGUGAAGGGAAGGAGAGAUCUUGACUCCAUUUCAGAAGGCUGGUUUAUUAUAUUAUGAUAUAUAUUACAUUAAAAAAGACCACACUAUAACUAUACU